rnacentral:rRNA from 1 species
CCUACGGGAGGCAGCAGUGGGGGAUAUUGCACAAUGGGGGGAACCCUGAUGCAGCGACGCCGCGUGGGUGAAGGAGUGCUUCGGCAUGUAAAGCCCUAUCGGCAGGGAAGAAGCAAGACGGUACCUGACUAAGAAGCCCCGGCUAACUACGUGCCAGCAGCAGCGGUAAUACGGAGGGGGCGAGCGUUACCCGGAUUCACUGGGUGAAAAGGGAGCGUAGACGGCCAAGCAAGCCAGGGGUGAAAGCCCGGGGCCCAACCCCGGAACUGCCCUUGGAACUGCAUGGCUGGAGUGGGGGAGGGGCAGGCGGAAUUCCUGGUGUAGCGGUGAAAUGCGUAGAUAUCAGGAGGAACACCGGCGGCGAAGGUGGCCUGCUGGACCGCGACUGACGUUGAGGCUCGAAAGCGUGGGGAGCGAACAGGAUUAGAUACCCGUGUAGUC